rnacentral:rRNA from 1 species
ACAGCAGCCGCCGCGGGAAUACAGAGGGUGCGAGCGUUAAUCGGAUUUACUGGGCGUAAAGCGUGCGUAGGCGGCUUCUUAAGUCGGAUGUGAAAUCCCUGAGCUUAACUUAGGAAUUGCAUUCGAUACUGGGAAGCUAGAGUAUGGGAGAGGAUGGUAGAAUUCCAGGUGUAGUGGUGAAAUGCGUAGAGAUCUGGAGGAAUACCGAUGGCGAAGGCAGCCAUCUGGCCUAAUACUGACGCUGAGGUACGAAAGCAUGGGGAGCAAACAGGAUUAGAUACCCGCGUAGUCCCUGUCUCUUAUAC